rnacentral:tRNA from 1 species
CCGGGUGCUCGCUGAGGAUGCGCAGCACGGCCGAUUUCCGGUCGGCCAGCGAGAGCGGCAGCCCGUGCCGCACGUUCAGCCGCACCGCCAGCAC